GCGCCCGUAGCUCAACUGGAUAGAGCAUCAGCCUUCUAAGCUGAAUGUUGCAGGUUCGAGUCCUGCCGGGCGCGCCA
rnacentral:tRNA from 3 species